rnacentral:rRNA from 1 species
AGCGAACGCUGGCGGCAGGCCUAACACAUGCAAGCAGAACGAACCCAUCGGGGUUAGUGGCCGACGGGCGAGUAACACGUGGGAACAUGCCUUUAGGUUCGGAAUAACUCAGGGAAACUUGUUCUAAUACCGAAUGUGCCCUUCGGGGGAAAGAUUUAUCGCCUUUAGAGCGGCCCGCGUCUGAUUAGCUAGUUGAUGAGGUAAUGGCUCACCAAGGCUACGAUCAGUAGCUGGUCUGAGAGGAUGACCAGCCACAUUGUGACUGAGACCCGGCCCAAACUCCUACGGGAGGCAGCAGUGGGGAAUCUUGCGCAAUGGGCGAAAGCCUGACGCAGCCAUGCCGCGUGGAUGAUGAAGGUCUUAGGAUUGUAAAAUCCUUUCACCGGUGAAGAUAAUGACUGUAGCCGGAGAAGAAGCCCCGGCUAACUUCGUGCCAGCCGCCGCAGUAACAC